rnacentral:rRNA from 1 species
GCNUGAGAAAUAGCUACCACUUCUACGGAGGGCAGCAGGCGCGCAAAUUGCCCAAUGUCAAAAAAAAACGAUGAGGCAGCGAAAAGAAAUAGAGCCGACAGUGCAUUUUGUAUUGUCGUUUUCAAUGGGGGAUAUUUAAACCCAUCCNAAAAUCGAGUAACAAUUGGAGGACAAGUCUGGUGCCAGCACCCGCGGUANUCCANCNNNNA